UUAUCUUAAUUAAAAUCAUUACGAAAUGAGUACUGAUAGUAUCUGUAAAAUAAUGUAAACAAAGAGUGUAGGAAACUUUAUUAUGCUAUAUCAUUUAUUAUGUAGUUAAUACUUACACUUUGUUAAUAAAAAAAUAGUUUAUAUAAAAGUUUGUUGUUAAUAUAAUAAUAAACAGUUUAUAUGAUAUACAUUUUUCAUUAAUCACCACAAAUUAAGCUUAAGAACAAAAAGUGAUACAAUCUAACCUAACAUCAAUUGCUGUGUAAUGUUUAUCGACUAAACUUCGAUUGUGUCAUUGACAAGUUUAUCGAUUAUUUCAAAAUAAGUUAAAAUGUAUACAGGGCUUUCCUCAGGACCACUAUCAUCCUGUUGUGAGUGACUCUGCUGAUCACUACCUGGAAGGCUACCAUAUUGUUGUGCAUCUUCACUAUGUCCAGAGGCAGACGAGGAGCUUGAAGAAAGCGGUUUAGUAUUAAGUGCACCAAGCGAAUUAAAUGUUCCAAGAGGACCACCAACAUUGCUUGUACCACUGCUAACACCAACAGAUAGUUGACUGUCACCUGUAAAACCGGACACCAUGUUCGUUGUCCUAGGAAAGAAAAGA
rnacentral:misc_RNA from 1 species